rnacentral:siRNA from 1 species
UCUUUCCCAAAUGUAGACAAAGCA